rnacentral:rRNA from 1 species
UACGUAGGGUGCAAGCGUUAAUCGGAAUUACUGGGCGUAAAGCGUGCGCAGGCGGUGAUGUAAGACAGGUGUGAAAGCCCCGGGCUUAACCUGGGAACUGCGGUUGAAACUACAGGACUAGAAUCUGGCAGAGGGGGGGUGGAAUUCCACGUGUAGCAGUGAAAUGCGUAGAGAUGUGGAGGAACACCGAUGGCGAAGGCAGCCCCCUGGGCUGAGAUUGACGCUCAGGCACGAAAGCGUGGGGAGCAAACAGG